UCUUUGCAAAACAUCCAUGGGUUUCUCUGGUAAGAUGAGAAAUCUGCAUUUUCCUCCAGAAAAAAGGGAAAAUCCGUGUUUUGCUCCAUUUUCCUGUGGGAAAUGGAAACCUCAGAUCCCUGCUGUUAACACACAGCGCAAGUAAAUCACCACACACAGGAUAUUUUCAUAAGGAAAAAGGACUGUCACGUGGAAAGGUAGAAGUACUGGAUCAAAAACCAUGUAAAAAACAAUGACCUGAUGAUGAUCAUCAUCUAUCACCUAGCAGCUAGAAUCUUGUGACCUUCAAGCAUGUCGUAAAGCAUAUAUGUUUUCCCAGACAGAUGAAAACAGGAAGAACCGAGAAAGAAGAUACAGGUUAGCCAAGGAACUGAAGGUUGCAUACUUCAAGAGAGGGAGUGGGCAGAACUGCUAAAUAUCUCCUGGAAACUGCUAAAUAUCUCUUACCAUUGUGGCACUAGAACAGGAAGAAUUGCUAAUCCCAGACACAGGAGGAAAGAGGCUGGAGAAGGUUCCAAGGGCCUCGGCUACACACCAACUUUGUGGAAAUGGGAGGCUCCUUCCUAGCUUGCUCCUGCAGCCAUAUGACCGAGGGCAAGUGAAACGGACAUCCAAACCCGAGGCCUCCUGG